AUACGUAGGGGACGAGCGUUGUCCGGAAUUACUGGGCGUAAAGGGCGCGCAGGCGGAUAUUUAAGUCAGCUGUAAAAGGCAUGAGCUCAACUCAUGUAUGCGGUUGAAACUGGGUAUCUAGAGUGCUGGAGAGGUAGGCGGAAUUCCCGGUGUAGCGGGGAAAUGCGUAGAUAUCGGGAAGAACACCAGUGGCGAAGGCGGCUUACUGGCCAGCAACUGACGCUGAGGCGCGAAAGCCAGGGGAGCGAACGGGAUUAGAUACCCCGGUAGUCCUGGCCGUAAACGAUGAAUGCUAGGUGUGGGUGUCGAGAGGCAUCCGUGCCGGAGUUAACGCGAUAAGCAUUCCGCCUGGGGAGUACGAUCGCAAGAUUGAAACUUAAAGGAAUUGACGGGG
rnacentral:rRNA from 1 species